rnacentral:rRNA from 1 species
UGGGGAAUAUUGCACAAUGGCGGGAACUCUGAUGCAGCGACGCCGCGUGAACGAAGAAGGCUUUCGAGUCGUAAAGUUCUCUUAUCUGGGAAGAUAAUGACGGUACCAUAAGAAAAAGCCCCGGCUCACUACGUGCCAGCAGCCGCGGUAAUACGUAGGGGGCUAGCGUUGUCCGGAAUCACUGGGCGUAAAGGGUUCGCAGGCGGAAAUGCAAGUCAGGUGUAAAAGGCAGUAGCUUAACUACUGUAAGCAUUUGAAACUGCAUAUCUUGAGAAGAGUAGAGGUAAGUGGAAUUUUUAGUGUAGCGGUGAAAUGCGUAGAUAUUAAAAAGAAUACCGGUGGCGAAGGCGACUUACUGGGCUCAUUCUGACGCUGAUGAACGAAAGCGUGGGUAGCAAACAGG